rnacentral:rRNA from 1 species
UACGUAGGGGGCAAGCGUUGUCCGGAUUUAUUGGGUUUAAAGGGUGCGUAGGCGGCUUUGUAAGUCAGUGGUGAAAUAUGGCAGCUCAACUGUCAGGGUGCCAUUGAUACUGCGGAGCUUGAGUACAGAUGAGGUAGGCGGAAUUGACGGUGUAGCGGUGAAAUGCUUAGAUAUCGUCAAGAACACCGAUAGCGAAGGCAGCUUACUAGGCUGUAACUGACGCUGAGGCACGAAAGUGUGGGGAUCAAACAGG